GCCUCUCAAAGUGUCCAUGCCAGAGUGAACUGUAACCUGAAUCCAUGGCCUGACUUUGUCCCAUGAGUGUCGAGCACUGAAGCAGAUUUCACAGUG
rnacentral:snoRNA from 1 species